UCUAGUAGCUGGUUCCCUC
rnacentral:snRNA from 1 species